UUGCUUCUCUGCUUUUGCAUUCGUUCUUGGUGAUCCUCAGCUCGAUCUUGAUUCUCGGGUAAAAGUUUCUUGGACCCUUCUGUUUAGUUGCUUCUCUGGGUUUGGAUUCAUUCUACUUGGUGUUCAUCUGCUCGAUCGUGUUUCCCUGGACAAGCGUUUGCUAAAGCAAUGCGUUCCGGAAGCAAUGAAGCUAUCUUACCACUCCUUUGGUGUCCCCUUUUAGUGACUGAUUUGCUCUCUACAUCCCUAAACGAUCUUGUUUCUGUGGACUCUGAACUACCUUUUCUUUUCUUGGGUUCUUUCUUCCACUCGGCUACUUUCUUGGUUUGGAUUCUUCUUAUUUCAAAUACCUGAGUUCCUUGUUGCCUUACCGAUCGAGUAAAGCUAUAUCAUCAAGUAAAUUUGCUUUUCCUUUAUACUGAAUAAAUCCAUCACUAACUUUUUCUUGCACACGAAAAUUUAAUGUAUAUCGUCAAGGUUUAUACAGGUUUCUCAUUAUGUCUAUUCUAUGGUUGUGUUUCUUAUCUAAUACGGAACAAAAUAUUUCCUUCUUUCUUUCGAAUCGCGCGCCAGAUUAUGCCAUCAGCAGUCCAAGUAAUUUCCGUCCUUGACGUCAGGCGUAGUUACUUAGAACGACCCCGAGUGGAGACACGACUAACGUUUGGUAAGGUCUCUUCCUUUCUUGUUGCAGGCACUGAUGUUGUUGCCACCAUUGUCACAGCCACCACGUUGCCUCCACCGCCCGUUCCUCGAAACGGGAGUGGUGGCCUUCGCCAUCCAGUUGCAACAGGCACUCCACACGCCAAUGCGGUCCGGCCGCCGCUUCCGCCUCCAAGGCGACCAGUUGCAGGACCUCCUCUUCCUGCCACCGUGGUCCCCUCGCCGCCACCGCCGCCAGCACUGGUGUUGUCCACCCCGCCAAUCCCCAGAGCGCCACCCACGCCACCAUUAGAGCAAAGCAAUGGCAAUGGCACAAAGGUGCUGAUCAUCGCUCAAUCCUUCUUAUUCCUGCUCUUACACCACCUUAUCAUCUAAUCUGAUUGGUAGUUAUAGCGAGGCCAACCCACAGUUAUGAGACAAUUAGUAGUGACGUAGUCACAAAGGAUACUGUUCCCUGUAGGUCGAGCAGUCUUGCUUGCUUGAUCCCUUCGGCUGUUGUCGCACAAUAUUAGACUGCAUGAGGUUGCAACAGAGUUUCUACGUGCAUGGUUGGUUGAUGAUGCCCACCAUAUCUGUCCUAUGAGGACG